rnacentral:rRNA from 1 species
AACAAACGCUGGCGGCGUGCCUAAUACAUGCAAGUCGAACGGGGAAAGCUUUCGGGUGAGUACUAGUGGCGCACGGGUGAGUAACGCGUGGAUAAUCUGCCUUAGAGUGGGGGAUAACUAGUCGAAAGAUUAGCUAAUACCGCAUAAGACCACAAGAACUGCGGUUCAAGAGGUCAAAGGUUUUUCGCUCUAAGAUGAGUCCGCGUAAGAUUAGCUAGUUGGUGAGGUAACGGCUCACCAAGGCAACGAUCUUUAACUGGUCUGAGAGGAUGAUCAGUCACACUGGAACUGAGACACGGUCCAGACUCCUACGGGAGGCAGCAGUAGGGAAUAUUGCACAAUGGAGGAAACUCUGGUGCAGCGACGCCGCGUGAGUGAUGAAGGCCUUCGGGUCGUAAAGCUCUGUCGCAGGGGAAUAACACAAUGAAUGUACCCUGUAAGAAAGGAUCGGCUAACUUCGUGCCAGCCGCCGCUGUAAAAC